rnacentral:rRNA from 1 species
UAGCCAGACUCCUACGGGAGGCAGCAGUCGGGAAUAUUGCACAAUGGAGGAAACUCUGAUGCAGUGACACCGCGUAUAGGGAGAAGGUUUUCGGAUUGUAAACUAUUUUAGACAGGGAAGAAAAAAGACAGUACCUGUAGAAUAAGCAUCGGCUAACUCCGUGCCAGCAGCCGCGGUAAUACGGGGGAUGCGAGCGUUAUCCGGAUUUAUUGGGUUUAAAGGGUGCGUAGGCGGCGCUUCAGGUCAGCGGUGAAAUACCGGGGCUCAACCCCGGGGCUGCCGUUGAAACCGGAGCGCUAGAAUUCCGAUGCCGUCGGAGGAAUGUGUGGUGUAGCGGUGAAAUGCAUAGAUAUCACACAGAACACCGAUUGCGAAGGCAUCUGACGAAUCGGAGAUUGACGCUGAUGCACGAAAGCGUGGGUAUCGAACAGGAUUAGAUACCCUAGUAUA